CCCUGUGAACAUACCUUAAUGUUGCCUCGGCGGAUCAGCCCGCGCCCCGUAAAACGGGACGGCCCGCCAGAGGACCCAAACUCUAAUGUUUCUUAUUGUAACUUCUGAGUAAAACAAACAAAUAAAUCAAAACUUUCAACAACGGAUCUCUUGGUUCUGGCAUCGAUGAAGAACGCAGCAAAAUGCGAUAAGUAAUGUGAAUUGCAGAAUUCAGUGAAUCAUCGAAUCUUUGAACGCACAUUGCGCCCGCUGGUAUUCCGGCGGGCAUGCCUGUUCGAGCGUCAUUUCAACCCUCAAGCCCCCGGGUUUGGUGUUGGGGAUCGGCUCUGCCCUUCUGGGCGGCGCCGCCCCCGAAAUACAUUGGCGGUCUCGCUGCAGCCUCCAUUGCGUAGUAGCUAACACCUCGCAACUGGAACGCGGCGCGGCCAUGCCGUAAAACCCCAACUUCUGAAUGUUGACCUCGGAUCAGGUAGGAAUACCCGCUGAACUUAAGCAUAUCAAUAAGCGGAGG
rnacentral:rRNA from 1 species